rnacentral:sRNA from 1 species
AUUGCCGCGUGUUCCUCAGCCAUCGCUCGGGCCAGGGCCUGGGUGCGCAGGCUGUCCCCUGCCCCGUAGGCCCCCAGCCUAGUUCAAUAGUCAAGCAUUUUGAAGAGAAUGAAUGAAAUCCAGUUCUUGACAGUCCUAAAGGAAGACUUGAAGUCUAUGAAGUUGAGCAGUUUCCAGGUUUACCUGGAUUCUGGGCAAACACAGUCUGAGAAGUAGCUGGGGCUCCAGGCAAGUGCUCAGGGGGCAUCUCUGCAGGGGAACUGCCAGGCUUCCGGGAGGGCUGGCCUCGCCCCCAAGGCCUCAGCGCCAUGCUUGUCUUGGCAGAAUCACCUCCACUGUGGCCUGCGACAUGGACCUGGCCAAAUACCCCAUGGACGAGCAGGAGUGCAUGCUGGACCUGGAGAGCUGUGAGUGGGUGUGCAAAGCGGGCAGGGGCUUCUCUCGGGGGGAGCCACGCUGGCUUCUCCAGCAGUGGAUGGGGGCUCAGACUGUCAGCCCGGGGCCUGGACAAGGCUGGCCCGGCUCAGGGUGCAGGAAAGCACCAAACCAGCUUCUGCAUGAGCAAGAAGCCUGGGCAGGAGGAGAAGGGGCCAGAAGGCCUGGAGCAGUCUGGCUUGUGGGUCUGUGCCCUGCCUGGGGAGCCGGGCCGUGGAGCCCAUACAUGGCACAUAUUGAUAUUGUUGAGCCAGUGCAGCAGCCCCUGUGUGUCACCUGACAACGGUGACCCCAUCUGUGUCCCAUCCACCUGCCCGGAGGAGCCCAACAUGGUCCCAGAGCCGAAGUCCUCCUUGCUCCUGGCUGGGGUCCUGCUCGGUCCCCAUCACAAUGGUGUCGGCCCCGUGCAGGCUUCCUGUGUGGACGGAGCGCUCCUGCCAGGGCUCCCGGGGCGGGGCCAGGCUCUGCCGCCCACCUGUGUGCUUUUCCUCCAGACGGUUACUCAUCAGAGGACAUCGUCUACUACUGGUCGGAGAGCCAGGAGCACAUCCAUGGGCUGGACAAGCUGCAGCUGGCGCAGUUCACCAUCACCAGCUACCGCUUCACCACGGAGCUGAUGAACUUCAAGUCCGCCGGCCAGUUCCCACGGCUCAGCCUGCACUUCCAGCUGCGGAGGAACCGCGGCGUGUACAUCAUCCAGUCCUACAUGCCCUCUGUCCUGCUGGUCGCCAUGUCCUGGGUCUCCUUCUGGAUCAGCCAGGCGGCGGUGCCCGCCAGGGUGUCUCUAGGCAUCACCACGGUGCUGACGAUGACCACGCUCAUGGUCAGUGCCCGCUCCUCCCUGCCGCGGGCGUCAGCCAUCAAGGCACUGGACGUCUACUUCUGGAUCUGCUAUGUCUUCGUGUUUGCCGCCCUGGUGGAGUACGCCUUUGCGCAUUUCAACGCCGACUACAGGAAGAAGCAGAAAGCCAAGGUCAAGGUCUCCAGGCCGAGGGCAGAGAUGGACGUGAGGAAUGCCAUUGUCCUCUUCUCCCUCUCUGCUGCCGGCGUCACGCAGGAGCUGGCCAUCUCCCGCCGGCAGCGCCGCGUCCCGGGGAACCUGAUGGGCUCCUACAGGUCGGUGGGGGUGGAGACAGGGGAGACGAAGAAGGAGGGGGCAGCCCGCUCGGG